rnacentral:rRNA from 1 species
GACGAACGCUGGCGGCAUGCCUAAUACAUGCAAGUCGAGCGAACAGAUGAAGUGCUUGCACUUCUGACGUUAGCGGCGAACGGGUGAGUAACACGUAAGGAAUCUACCUAUAAGCGGGGGAUAACAUUCGGAAACGGGUGCUAAUACCGCAUAAUAUCUUCUUCCGCAUGGAGGAAGAUUGAAAGACGGCUCUGCUGUCACUUAUAGAUGACCUUGCGGUGCAUUAGUUAGUUGGUGGGGUAACGGCCUACCAAGACAAUGAUGCAUAGCCGACCUGAGAGGGUGAUCGGCCACAUUGGGACUGAGACACGGCCCAAACUCCUACGGGAGGCAGCAGUAGGGAAUCUUCCGCAAUGGGCGAAAGCCUGACGGAGCAAUGCCGCGUGAGUGAAGAAGGCCUUCGGGUCGUAAAACUCUGUUAUAAGAGAAGAACAAAUUGUAGAGUAACUGCUACAGUCUUGACGGUAUCUUAUCAGAAAGCCACGGCUAACUACGUGCCAGCCGCCGCGGUAA